AAUGAACGUUGGCGGCGUGGAUUAGGCAUGCAAGUCGUGCGCGAACCGUAGCAAUACGGUGAAAGCGGCGAAAGGGAGAGUAAUGCGUAGAUACCUGCCCUCGGGUCUAGGAUAGCCACGGGAAACUGUGGGUAAUACUGGAUGAUGUCUCCGGACCAAAGUUGUGAUUCCGCCCGGGGAGGGUCUGCGUCUUAUCAGCUAGUUGGUGAGGUAACGGCCCACCAAGGCUAUGACGGGUACGAGGCGUGAGAGCGUGUCCUCGCUCACUGGGACUGAGACACUGCCCAGACACCUACGGGAGGCUG
rnacentral:rRNA from 1 species